CCUACGGGUGGCAGCAGUGAGGAAUAUUGGUCAAUGGGCGCGAGCCUGAACCAGCCAAGUCGCGUGAGGGAAGACGGUCCUAUGGAUUGUAAACCUCUUUUGUCGGGGAGCAAAAGACGCCACGCGUGGCGUUCCGAGAGUACCCGAAGAAAAAGCAUCGGCUAACUCCGUGCCAGCAGCCGCGGUAAUACGGAGGAUGCGAGCGUUAUCCGGAUUUAUUGGGUUUAAAGGGUGCGUAGGCGGAAGAUCAGGUCAGCGGUAAAAUUGAGAGGCUCAACCUCUUCGAGCCGUUGAAACUGGUUGUCUUGAGUGAGUGAGAGGUAUGCGGAAUGCGUGGUGUAGCGGUGAAAUGCAUAGAUAUCACGCAGAACUCCGAUUGCGAAGGCAGCAUACCGGCGCUCAACUGACGCUCAGGCACGAAAGUGUGGGUAUCGAACAGGAUUAGAUACCCGGGUAGUC
rnacentral:rRNA from 1 species